rnacentral:rRNA from 1 species
GACGAACGCUGGCGGCGUGCCUAAUACAUGCAAGUAGAACGCUGAAGGAGGAGCUUGCUUCUCUGGAUGAGUUGCGAACGGGUGAGUAACGCGUAGGUAACCUGCCUGGUAGCGGGGGAUAACUAUUGGAAACGAUAGCUAAUACCGCAUAAGAGUAGAUGUUGCAUGACAUUUGCUUAAAAGGUGCAAUUGCAUCACUACCAGAUGGACCUGCGUUGUAUCAGCUAGUUGGUGAGGUAACGGCUCACCAAGGCGACGAUACAUAGCCGACCUGAGAGGGUGAUCGGCCACACUGGGACUGAGACACGGCCCAGACUCCUACGGGAGGCAGCAGUAGGGAAUCUUCGGCAAUGGACGGAAGUCUGACCGAGCAACGCCGCGUGAGUGAAGAAGGUUUUCGGAUCGUAAAGCUCUGUUGUAAGAGAAGAACGAGUGUGAGAGUGGAAAGUUCACACUG